rnacentral:misc_RNA from 1 species
GGAAGGGAAAGACUUACUAAACUAAAAGACCAAAGACUGGCUUCCUUACUGCCUUGGCUCCUAGGACUUCAACCAAGGAAUGGGAAGAUAGAGAGACAGAGACAGGAAAGAAAGAGAUACAGGAAAGCUAAGGAUAUAACGAAGGGCUAUACUCUUUCUUACCUCCCCUGCUAGCCCUUCUUAAAACCAGAAAGCAGAGAAUAACCCAUAAAAAAGCACUGACUGGCCCAGAGGACUAUUAUAAAGACAGAGACGCAGACUGGCCUACUUUCUUGCUUUCUACUGGCCUUACUACGCGCAGGCUUCGCUUUUAACAAUCUCUACUGUUACUGGUUAGACCGACUUGCUGGCUGAUUUCAUUCCUUCCCGCUUCCCCCAUUCCGUGUCUCCAACCGGCCAUAGUGAACUUAGAUGAUUCAUCCUAGCUUAAUAGGGUUUUCGCCUUUCCCUCGUCCAUGGGGCUAGCCUCUUAUCUGCUUUCAUAGGCUAUCGAUCCUUCACCUCAAUUUCACAAGCAAUUGAGUGGCUUAACGCUCCUCCUUCUCCCAUUCAAUGCUAGAAGUGAAAGGACAGUAGGUAAGGAAAUUUCUUUUCUCUGAAGAAUGUGAUCCCCAAUCCCUAAUAACUAAAUUGCGUACAUAAGAGACAGCUGGUUCCUCCUUUCUUCUCUAGUAUUCCCUGCUUGAACACAAUCAAGGCUUUUUUGUUUCAACUCCCUAUCUUCCAAUCUCAUGAGAUGCAGCUUCUCUUCCGACUUUCUUGACUCGUCCCUCCCCUCCUGCCGGACUACCUGUAUCGGAAGGCAUUCCAUUACCUGAAGUAAGGGCACUUGAAUUCUGAUCCUCAAAUGCCGUUGACGUUGCCCUUUAGCGAUUGACCCCUUAGGCUGAGGACCUCCUCACCUCAUCUCCUUUUCAUUCUCUGGCCGAUGAUAGCUGAUGGAACAAAAGAAAAACUAGUGUCUUGAGUGCGCUUGCUGCUGGCUUUGUUCUCAGCUCAGCUGGAAAUCAAGGGCUUUCCGACCCCUCUUCCCCUGUCUGCUCCGCUGGAAACGGGGCUGUCAGAGGACUUCUCCGAUUAUAGACUGUUAGAAAGAAGAAAUUCAGCUUUUCUCCUGACAGUUGAUCCUCCCCCUUGCGAUCAAGUGGCUGCUUAGUGGCGUUCAGCUCUUGUUCUUUUUCUGCUUUCGCUUCUUGAAGAAAGGGGAAAAAGAGCUCUUCAAAAGACAGCAAUUGCUUAGAUAAUCAAUAGAGUGGCUGUUGUCUAUCCAACUCUUUCUCCUCGUCGGUGAAGUGGCAUUCUCUUUCUCUUCUAUUAUAGUGUGAUCUUUCAUCAACCCCGGCUCGGCACGUAUCUUUUGAAUCUGAGCUGGCUUGUUGAGCUUGCCUCUGAUCGCAUUCCGUUGACCUGUGAUUCAAUGGACUAUAUGUGUCCGGUUCAGAAGUGGAUACAGAAGACAUGGCAGGGCCGAUGAUGACUCAUCUAAUUCCGUGCUGUGCUUUUAAAAAUCCCGCUCAAUCACGUAAAUAAAGAUCAGAUAGUUAGUCUUCCUCGCCGGCUGGGGACGCACCCCUUUCUCUGACAUCAAAUUCACUGAUAGCGAUCGAUUAAUGAAUGGCGGGUGAACUCGUUCUCCGAUGAGAGUUUCCUGCUUUCAAGCCAGUCAGACCUACAAGUUCGCUUGCUGGAUUGGUUGGGAUAUAGGUCGGUGUCAUGGGAAGAAGGUGAAUCAAUGGUAGAACAAGGGCUUCUUUCCCUCUUGUCGAUUGGUUUAGUUGAGCUCAACCGGGUCUUUCGCAAAGUCAAGUGAUUGUCUAGUAGAAAUAGAAGAUCAAGCUCGGGUGAACACUCAUAAAUUCAAUGAAAUCAGGUGCCAUUACACUCUCUCCCAAUGUCAUAUGGAGUGGCUGGUGCAUCUUCGACAUUCAGAUAGGUAGCCCAUUUCACGAUGAGAGAUAUAAGAUCGGGUUAGAACGAAAGCUAGCCUUCCUGAUCUUAUAUACGCUAUUUAUGUCAGAGGCGCCCAAAGCUAGAAACAAGAGAGAGAGAGAGGCUGGACGGUGAGGCAGAUAAAGAGAGAUAAAAAGCAGCAUAAGCAAGAUUUCGAGUAGAAUAUUCAAAGCUUUUGAGUAAGUAAGAUGGAUGAAUUUGGAAGCAAGUGAAAGAACUAGUUGCAUAGAUAUAGAGAAAGUCUUUUCUCUUCAAAGAGAGGGUGAUAUGAGGGUUUUAAGAUCGGUUUUGACGUCGACUUCGACACAGCUAUAGUGACCCGAAUGACGGGCUAUAGGUAUCUAGGGUAGUAGCCUUAGUCUUAGCAUGCCAAGGUAGGUCUUCUUUUUCUUUAGGUCGCCUAGAUCUCUUGCCUAUGUAGUAGGCUUAUAAGGUUCUAUAGUCGCAGCGGUGGUCACCUUUUUUUUUCUUUCUAAGUAGCCUUAGAUCAGAGUAGGUGGAUGUUCGCCUUUAGACCUCGCCAGUAGAAAAAUGUUCAAAUUGGAUUGAGUCUCGCAAGCCUUUCGUACAGGGGAAUAUGGCAUAGCUGUCCGAUCCUCUGAUGGAUAAGAUUAGUCGCCUUGAACGGGCAGUUAAUAAAUUGAGUGGAGACAAGUAUGAUGUUGCAGAUCUUGAUAAUCUCUCCCUAUACCUAUACGCUGGCUGUAUCGAGUGUAUCGUCCAUGUACGUCUAAUCUAACGUAGGAGCAC